rnacentral:rRNA from 1 species
AUUGAACGCUGGCGGCAGGCCUAACACAUGCAAGUCGAGCGGAUGAAGGGAGCUUGCUCUCUGAUUUAGCGGCGGACGGGUGAGUAAUGCCUAGGAAUCUGCCUGGUAGUGGGGGAUAACGUCCCGAAAGGAACGCUAAUACCGCAUACGUCCUACGGGAGAAAGCGGGGGAUCUUCGGACCUCGCGCUAUCAGAUGAGCCUAGGUCGGAUUAGCUAGUUGGUGAGGUAAAGGCUCACCAAGGCGACGAUCCGUAACUGGUCGGAGAGGAUGAUCAGUCACACUGGAACUGAGACACGGUACAGACUCCUACGGGAGGCAGCAGUGGGGAAUAUUGGACAAUGGGCGAAAGCCUGAUCCAGCCAUGCCGCGUGUGUGAAGAAGGUCUUCGGAUUGUAAAGCACUUUAAGUUGGGAGGAAGGGUUGUAGAUUAAUACUCUGCAAUUUUGACGUUACCGACAGAAUAAGCACCGGCUAACUUCGUGCCAGCCGCCGCUGUAACAC